GACGAACGCUGGCGGCGUGCUUAACACAUGCAAGUCGAACGGAAAGGCCCUGCUUGCAGGGUACUCGCGUGGCGAACGGGUGAGUAACACGUGGGUGAUCUGCCCUGCACUUCGGGAUAAGCUUGGGAAACUGGGUCUAAUACCGGAUAGGAACCAUCUUUAGUGUGGUGGUUGGAAAGUUUUUUCGGUGUAGGAUGAGCUCGCGGCCUAUCAGCUUGUUGGUGGGGUAAUGGCCUACCAAGGCGGCGACGGGUAGCCGGCCUGAGAGGGUGUACGGUCACAUUUGAGCUGAGAUACGGCGCAGACGCCCACGGGAGGCAGGAGUGGGGAAUAUUGCACAAUGGGCGCAAGCCUGAUGCAGCGACGCCGCGUGGGGUAUGAAGGCCUGCGGGUUGUAAACUCGUUGCUCUAGGGACGAAGCUUUGUUGUGACGGUACCUAGAUAAGAAGCACCGGCUAACUACGUG
rnacentral:rRNA from 1 species